rnacentral:rRNA from 1 species
GGACGAAACUCCACUUUCGAGUGGAUUGACGGUACCGGGUGAGGAAGCACCGGCUAACUCUGUGCCAGCAGCCGCGGUAAUACAGAGGGUGCGAGCGUUGUCCGGAAUCACUGGGCGUAAAGGGCGCGUAGGUGGCGGCAUAAGGCCGUGGUGAAAGUCUGGGGCUCAACCCCAGAUCGGCCAUGGCAACUGUGUCGCUUGGGCACUGUAGAGGCAGAUGGAAUUCCGGGUGUAGCGGUGGAAUGCGUAGAGAUCCGGAAGAACACCAGGGGCGAAGGCGGUCUGCUGGGCAGUGGAGUCGCAAGACUCCGUAGCCGACACUGAGGCGCGACAGCGUGGGGAGCAAACAGGAUUAGAUACCCUGGUAGUCCACGCCGUAAACGAUGGGCACUAGGUGCUUUGGGGAGCGACCCCCGGGGUACCGGCGCUAACGCAUGAAGUGCCCCGCCUGGGGAGUACGGCCGCAAGGCUGAAACUCAAAGGAAUUGACGGGGGCCCGCACAAGCGGUGGAGCAUGUGGUUUAAUUCGACGCAACGCGCAGAACCUUACCUAGGCUUGACAUGCACGGGAAAGCUGCUGGAAACAGUGGCCCCUCUUCGGAGCUCGUGCACAGGUGCUG